rnacentral:lncRNA from 1 species
CUAACAGUCCCUUAUUCGCAGUACUUUGACCAGUUAUGACUAUGCAUUGACUGCUGCUCACUGCAAAAAGAAGCUACGUUGACCAAGGUUAGGAGCAGCACUGAUUUAUACAACAGUCAGGCACUGAUUUGAAAAGUAUUCUUAGAUCCUGUUGGUUUGUAUUCCAUAUUCCAUGUGUUGCUGGGGUGGAUGGUCUCUACUGCUUCUCUUCUCUGGUUCUGGCAUGUGGGAAAGGGGAGAAGGCUGGACACCUUUCCUGGUUGUUCCCUUGCUCCAUGGCAGUCCACUGUGGCUUCUGGUCCUGCUCUCAGUCUCUGUGUGAAAAGCACUCUGCUUUCUUAGUCACAGUGCUGCCUGUUUAUGUAGUAGACCAUUAGAUGGACAAAAUACAAAGUGGACUUAACUUCAGUGGUAGUUAAAUAUUUUAAGUGGUAAUGUGUGUGUUGUGUGUACACUCAUAUAAAUUUUUUUUCAGGGGCUGGAGACAUGGCUCAGAGGUUAAGAAUGCUGACUGCUUUUCCAGGGGUCCUGAGUUCAAUUCCCAGGAACUACAUGGUGGCUCAUGACUGUCUAUAAUGAUAUCUGGUGCCCCCUUAUGGCAUGUGGGUAUACAUGCAGUACAAAACACUAUAUACAUAAUAAAUCUUUAAAAAAUGUCU